AGUGAACGCUGGCGGUAGGCCUAACACAUGCAAGUCGAACGGCAGCACAGUAAGAGCUUGCUCUUACGGGUGGCGAGUGGCGGACGGGUGAGGAAUACAUCGGAAUCUACUUUUUCGCGGGGGAUAACGUAGGGAAACUUACGCUAAUACCGCAUACGACCUACGGGUGAAAGCAGGGGAUCUUCGGACCUUGCGCGAUUGAAUGAGCCGAUGUCGGAUUAGCUAGUUGGCGGGGUAAAGGCCCACCAAGGCGACGAUCCGUAGCUGGUCUGAGAGGAUGAUCAGCCACACUGGAACUGAGACACGGUCCAGACUCCUCCGGGAGGCAGCAGUGGGGAAUAUUGGACAAUGGGCGCAAGCCUGAUCCAGCCAUACCGCGUGGGUGAAGAAGGCCUUCGGGUUGUAAAGCCCUUUUGUUGGGAAAGAAAAGCAGCAGGUUAAUACCCCGCUGUUCUGACGGUACCCAAAGAAUAAGCACCGGCUAACUUCGUG
rnacentral:rRNA from 1 species